rnacentral:rRNA from 1 species
UACGUAGGUGACAAGCGUUGUCCGGAUUUACUGGGCGUAAAGAGCGCGCAGGCGGUCGAUCAAGUCGAGUGUGAAAGCCCCCGGCUCAACUGGGGAGGGUCAUUCGAUACUGAUCGACUCGAAGGCAGGAGAGGGUAGUGGAAUUCCCGAUGUAGUGGUGAAAUGCGUAGAUAUCGGGAGGAACACCAGUGGCGAAGGCGACUACCUGGCCUGUUCUUGACGCUGAGGCGCGAAAGCUAGGGGAGCAAACGGGG